rnacentral:rRNA from 1 species
CGCUGAAAGCAUCUAAGUGUGAAACCCACCUCAAGAUGAGAUUUCCCAUGAUUAUAUAUCAGUAAGAGCCCUGAGAGAUGAUCAGGUAGAUAGGUUAGAAGUGGAAGUGUGGCGACACAUGUAGCGGACUAAUACUAAUAGCUCGAGGACUUAUCCA